rnacentral:rRNA from 1 species
CAAUAAGCGGAGGAAAAGAAACCAACAGGGAUUGCCUCAGUAACGGCGAAGUGAAGCGGCAAGAAGCUCAAAUUUGAAAGCUGGCCCCCUCGGGGUCCGCGUUGUAAUUUGCAGAAGGAUGCUUCGGGUGCAGCCCCCGUCUAAGUGCCCUGGAACGGGCCGUCAUAGAGGGUGAGAAUCCCGUCUGGGACGGGGUGUCUGCGUCCGUGUGAAGCUCCUUCGACGAGUCGAGUUGUUUGGGAAUGCAGCUCUAAAUGGGUGGUAAAUUUCAUCUAAAGCUAAAUACUGGCCGGAGACCGAUAGCGCACAAGUAGAGUGAUCGAAAGAUGAAAAGCACUUUGAAAAGAGAGUUAAACAGCACGUGAAAUUGUUGAAAGGGAAGCGUUUGCGACCAGACUCGCCCGCGGGGUUCAGCCGGCAUUCGUGCCGGUGUACUUCCCCGUGGGCGGGCCAGCGUCGGUUUGGGCGGCCGGUCAAAGGCCCUCGGAAUGUAUCACCCUUCGGGGUGUCUUAUAGCCGAGGGUGCAAUGCGGCCUGCCCGGACCGAGGAACGCGCUUCGGCUCGGACGCUGGCGUAAUGGUCGUAAAUGACCCGUCUUGAAACACGGACCAAGGAGUCUAACAUCUACGCGAGUGUUCGGGUGUCAAACCCGUACGCGCAGUGAAAGCGAACGGAGGUGGGAGCCCCCUCGUGGGGCGCACCAUCGACCGAUCCUGAUGUCUUCGGAUGGAUUUGAGUACGAGCGUAGCUGUGGGGACCCGAAAGAUGGUGAACUAUGCCUGAAUAGGGCGAAGCCAGAGGAAACUCUGGUGGAGGCUCGCAGCGGUUCUGACGUGCAAAUCGAUCGUCAAAUUUGGGUAUAGGGGCGAAAGACUAAUCGAACCAUCUAGUAGCUGGUCUGC